rnacentral:misc_RNA from 1 species
UACAGGGAAGAUCUUUUGCCGGGUAAGUUCAGUCAGCUACUUGUUUUGCGUCUUUGUCGAUUCAGUUUAGGAGGGCUGCUGCAACCUCUGGAGCAAACGUUUUUGCUUUAUGGCACCAUUAAGCCGGGGGGGACACAAUGCAAGCAACUAUCAAUUGUUGACUUUGCUGAAAAGGAAAAAAAGCUACCAUGUUUCCUAAGGCUUAAGGUUCAGUUAUAUUGUUUCCAUAAUCCUUCCUCAGCGCAUCAGCCAAACGAUUCGCUGCUUCCGAAUCGCGUCGACGACCACCCUUUGUCGCCGCAGCUGCGACGAGUACUGACAGUGGCUCUGUUGGAUGUUAGGUUUGGCCGCCAGAGAGUUUUG